GUGCUACUGGCUAUAGGAAGCUGCUGGGACAUUGGUUGCACAGCUCCUAAAUUGUGAACACAUGACCGUGGAGUCUUUAGGAUGGCUGAACUUUGCGGACUAAUCGUUAAGUACCACUUGUUCAGCGUUAUUAUAACUUCAAAUAGUUGCUGGACAAAUGGUCAUGAAUCAAGGACUUACCUGUAAUGUUCUGUUAUAUAUCAAAGAACAACAAAGCCAAGCCAAAGCAAACCAACAGUCUUACUGCAGGAAAGAAUUCAACCAUAUCAAAACCCAAAGGCCUUCAGGAAUACCCAAGUCUUGAAUUCUAAAACGUGCCAAUCUUACCUCAGAUAAUAUUCCCAAAAUAAGAGGGUGAUUUACAGAGAAGUUCCACCCUCUACUGAUGACACUCCAUCGAAGUAAGAGGCCAAAAACACCAAGGAGCCUCAUUUCCUUCACCAAAGACCUGUGUGAGGAGUCAAGUCUUCACAGCUGUUCUGAAUAACAGCAGGGGGGGGGCAACCUCAUUUCAGAGGGCAGGCACUGCUCAAGAAAAUGAACACUUCCAGAAUCCUGAUAGAUGACAUCAUUUAAUUGAAGGAACCCAGAGUGCGCAAAGUCAAAUUGGCCAAGCAGAUACUAUGUCAGGCAGUUCCUUUAAAAAAAUAAAAACAAGCCAUAUGCCAUGUAGAGUUUUAUAGGUAAUGACCAACCCCUUGAGCAGCAGGUUUACAAUAGUGGGUAUUUGUGGGUUUUGCUUUGUACCUAAAUUAUCAAAUACCACUUUUGGCUCUAAAUGCUUUUUGCCUUUUCAGCUAGUUUGCCAUAUACUGUAUUGCAAGGUAUAGAAGCAUCAUCAGGAAAACAUAAUAUUGUAUAAUAUGCUAUGUUAAAAAAUGAACUGGAAAUUUCUGCUAUUAAGGAACUCCUCUGCUCACUUCUCAACUGAAGUAUUGUUAUUACUAAUAAAGUUUUAUCUUGGCCCUGGCAA